CGAGCGAACAGACGAGGAGCUUGCUCCUCUGACGUUAGCGGCGGACGGGUGAGUAACACGUGGAUAACCUACCUAUAAGACUGGGAUAACUUCGGGAAACCGGAGCUAAUACCGGAUAAUAUAUUGAACCGCAUGGUUCAAUAGUGAAAGACGGUUUUGCUGUCACUUAUAGAUGGAUCCGCGCCGCAUUAGCUAGUUGGUAAGGUAACGGCUUACCAAGGCGACGAUGCGUAGCCGACCUGAGAGGGUGAUCGGCCACACUGGAACUGAGACACGGUCCAGACUCCUACGGGAGGCAGCAGUAGGGAAUCUUCCGCAAUGGGCGAAAGCCUGACGGAGCAACGCCGCGUGAGUGAUGAAGGUCUUCGGAUCGUAAAACUCUGUUAUUAGGGAAGAACAAAUGUGUAAGUAACUAUGCACGUCUUGACGGUACCUAAUCAGAAAGCCACGGCUAACUACGUGCCAGCAGCCGCGGUAAUACGUAGGUGGCAAGCGUUAUCCGGAAUUAUUGGGCGUAAAGCGCGCGUAGGCGGUUUUUUAAGUCUGAUGUGAAAGCCCACGGCUCAACCGUGGAGGGUCAUUGGAAACUGGAAAACUUGAGUGCAGAAGAGGAAAGUGGAAUUCCAUGUGUAGCGGUGAAAUGCGCAGAGAUAUGGAGGAACACCAGUGGCGAAGGCGACUUUCUG
rnacentral:rRNA from 1 species